rnacentral:misc_RNA from 1 species
GAUGAAGAACGUAGCGAAAUGCGAUAAGUAAUGUGAAUUGCAGAAUUCAGUGAAUCAUCGAAUCUUUGAACGCACAUUGCGCCCGCCAGCACUCUGUCGGGCAUGCCUGUUCGAGCGUCAUUUCAACCAUCAAGCCCCCAGGGGCUUGUGCUGGGGCCCUGCGGCUGCCCGCAGGCCCUGAAAACCAGUGGCGGGCUCGCUAGUCACACCGAGCGCAGUAGCACAUCUCGCUCAGGGCGUGCGGCGGGCUCCUGCCGUGAAACCCCCCACUGUAACCCCAAAGGUUGACCUCGGAUCAGGUAGGAAUACCCGCUGAACUUAAGCAUAUCAAUAAGCGGAGGA